CUGUGUACACAGCAGUCCUCAAAAGGCAAACCAACAGCGAGCGGAUGUUCAAGCUAAUUUCUUUAUCGAGACAUAUUUGCUUGUUGCUUUAAGAGAGAAGAGUUCCCCUAUUAGUAGGAAGAUCAUAUGUCUUGUUAUUGAUAGAUUGCAACGUUUUUAUUUUUCGUAUCUCUCACUUGGGUUUCUGCCCAAUAACCUCUUGCAAUCGCAUUUUUUUUUUAUGUUUGAAAAUUUCUUCUCCCUUCUUUGAUUUUGGCGGGUUUCUUUGAUAUCUUGCAGCGGCCGAUUUGUGUCGUCUGCUCUCGUUAUGUUUCACAGUUUCGAAAAAGCAAAAAGAAACGUAGGUUCAGAUACUUUUUAUUAUAGAAAACUGAACAACGGAUUGGAUAGGCUACAUGGCUGCAACUUGCAAGAGAUAUAGAAGAACAAAAUAAAAUAUGAUCGUCGUGUGAACUUUGUUGUAUAGUGAUUCCUCAUGCUCUCCAUUCCAUGAGGUCAGGUACUAAAUGAAACUAAGAUACAAAUGGAAUGAUAUCAGGAGCUUUAUACAGAAGAGCAGGAGCCUGUUCCAAAUUUGUGAAAUGUUGGUGCCCGAGCCCGACUACAGUGACUAGCAUUUAUCAUAUUUCAGGUCUGGAGCCAGCCAUCGUAACCACAAGAUGUACAAGUUUUGAUACUGACAUGACAUCAUCCAACAAUCUCAACAUCAUCAAUUGGAUAAACAGCAUUCCGUUUAAUUGGAGAAACUUCCAGUGUCGACCGAGUAACAGAUCUCUCUUUUCCCCCUUUCUUUAAAUGUCCUCGUGUACGCCCAUGUGAAUGUGGGUGUAUUCACGAGGACUCCCUUUUACCUAUCCUUGCUGGUCGUGGAUUCAACUUUGCUGUGGAUGGAGCCUUUCGGAUGCCUGGCUGUGGAUUUCCCAGGCAUAAAGGAACGAAAACCGAGCCACGGUCACUACUGUAGAGUACCUGACCCGGAAUAAAGGUGCUAGCGCCCGACGGACUCAGCAAAAUCUUGCCCGGCACGAAUCGAGGACCAGUUUUACUACCAAAUACUUGUCCAGGUUGGCCUUGGAAGAUUUUUGAUGAGAUGGGAGGAGGUUUGAAUGGCAUUACCAUAGCCGCAUACCCGGAAUGAUUCCUGCCUGCCUGGCUGGCCUGGCCUGCCCACCUUCAUCAUUCGCAAGCCAACAGACGCAGGAAGGAAGGAGAAAAAGAUCUGAUUUAUUUGAUUUUCUAUUUUCCGCGCGCGCGUCCGUCCUGCUGCUGGCAAGUGGCGAAGAACAUACUGGCAACGUGUCACCUUUUCUUUUCUUUUUGCCUUCUUCCCUCAUUUCCCCACUGCACUGCCCAAACCCCCCCCCCCCCCCUCCUUCCCCCAAUCUCUUUCUGGCUUUUGCAUCCGGCCAUCACAAAUCCAGUCCGUCCGUCCAUCCGCCGCCUCGUCAUCCUUCAUUGCCGAAAUUCCUGAAAUGACUUUGCAAAUGUGUCAAUGUCGUCCUUUUGUUUUCUUUUCUAUACUAUACCUCGGCUUCGCUUCUUUAUUUAUUUUUUCUUCUAGAGUAGCGGACACGGCGAGUCAUUUUCGUUGCCGUUCGACGGGCUUUCAAUGAAGCGAACAAGAAAAGCUGAAAUGAGAGAGAACGCCGGACUCGAUUGCUGUUGACGAUGUGAGGCGAGACAAGACCAUAGCAAAAAUAACGAAAGAAAAUAAGGAAAAAGGCGAAACAAAACAAAUCAAGAGAAUUCAAAAUGGACGUGGCAGCGUCCGUCCCGCAUUGGCGCGAAAAUUCCAAACUACCACCGACGUUCGCGGCGCCCGGCAUAAACCAUACAAGAUUUAGAGGUGACUCACCGUCCAAACAUUCGCCCGAAGAGAGCAUAGCAGUAGAGUAAAAGUGUUAGUCCGUGACAUGCGGCGCGAUGAGCAAAACCUCUUUCAACAGCAACAACUAGACCAUUGAGUCUUUGCUUGUCUUUUUAUACACUGAUGUCUGUAUUUUCUCGAGUCGUGCGCAGCAUCAUCAACAACAGCAACAGCAUCGGAUGAAUCAACAUUUUUCGCUUAAACGACCGGCGCGCAAGACGCAGAGGUAUUAGAGUGCGCUGCUGAUGACGGACGCCUGUAUCCAUAUUUGGCGGUGUUGAUAUGGAGAGCUUUUGCGGAUGAAUAGAAUAAGAUAUACUUGCUUGGAUAUAUACUACCUGCCUCAUGUAUAGAAAUAGAGCGCGCGCGCGCGGUCGUCGAGACGACUGCUGCUGGGCCGGGCCCCACAUCAUGCCUGCGCGAUGACGUAAAAAGAUGUGUCGUGAUCUGGUUAUUGGGAUCCUGCCACCGGCUGUUGGGGCCAAAGUACUUUUCUGCAUGCGUCGCCCCUCAUAUUCUAUACUGUUUCUUCCUGCUGUUGAUUAUAUGUAUUGAUUGAUUUAUUUAUGAUGAUUUGACCAUCGCGCACCACCAUCAUCUUUUUGCACCGGCAAAUGACCAGCGCCUGAUGUUUCUUUCUCUGCCGAGUUCUUUUUUUCUUUUUUUCUUUGUUGUUUCUUCGCUUGUUUUUUGCGAUGACUAAAUUUCUCUCUGCAUUCCACUUUGAUUUGUUUUGCUGCUUCUGCUGUUUCGUUUUCAUCUGCGCUUUCUUUUUGGCAGUGUGGAAUGCAGCAUACGUAUAGUAUAGAGAAAAGAAAAAAGUAGAACUUGCGGCCGUCAUUCCAUCCAUUCCUUUAGCGACCAAGAAGAAGCACGAGGUGCGUAUUCAAAUGUUUCUCUCAUUGGAAUUCCCAUACAAUUUUUUCUUGUUCUUCUCCCCUUUCCUGUUGUUCCUUUUUGCAAUUGCUACCGUUGGCUUGCUAUUCUCUAUCCCCUGUUCAAUGGCAAGUCCAUCGCCAUGCAGAUCCAUUUUCAGACAGCAAGACGACAAUCAAGUAUAGACCCAAUUCGUUUAAUUGAUUAUAACGAGGAGCUAUAGUACAGAUAUUAUAGACACGCCCCUCGUUCGCCGUAUAGCAUUCCAUUGCCAUUCUAACCAUUUAAACGUUUUUUUUAAUUAAAUCCAACAUUUUGGCGCCAGAGAGGGGGAAGAAGGAGAGAUGGAUGAUGCCGGAAUUCAAGAUGGCCAUCGAUUCUUCCGACUUUUGGCGGUUUGUUUCUUUUUAAAUUUGCAAAAAAGCCAAUGAAACGGGAGGAGAAGAAAGGGCAAAACGUUGCGCUCGUUCAUCACAAUGACAUCAAAAGAGUUUGGCCUGCUGAUGUUGUGUCUUAUGUGCUGUUCUCUAUGCGGCGGCCGCUGCAUUAUCCAAUCCGCGCAACUGUCGCGGAUAUGAACCGUUGCACUGGAUGGACGAGGACGACGAAUGCCAUUCCAACCGUUGGCGACGGCGGCAGUUCGCAAAAGAGUGCACCGUGCUGUAGAUACUAGCAGGACAUUUGUUUACAAAACACGGAUGGCGGCGACAAUGAAUUGUUAGAAAUAAAGAAAAAAAAGUUAGACAAAUUUGAUCAAACAACGACCAUUUAAGUUGAAUUCAAAGUCUCAUUUUCUGCUCUGUUGUCAGGCUAUUUUUGCCAGCUCCCGAUGUUUUUUUCCUCUGUUUUUGCCUGAACCGAAAUUCCUACAUAAUCCACUGUCCACCAGGUGUAAUAAUAAUAAUAAUAAAGGGAACCUGCCUGCCGCUGCCAGAUGAAAAAUCGUCCAAUCCGCCAACGACUCACGAUGGCGUCUCCGACUCGCCGUCCAGACGAGGCUCGGAUCAUUUAUCCCGCAGCGGAGGCGAUUCUGGCCCUUCUCAACAAGAGAACUCGUCCCUUAAGGAUCGUUGACUCAAUUUGGAAAAGGGAUUCUUCUUUUUCAUUUUGUGCUGACGGUUGUCACAAACCAUUUCUUUUCUAGUUGAUAUAUUCGACUUGGUUGUCGUUCAAACUAGCCAGCCGUUGUCAUAAACUCCGUUUUGUUGCUAUAGUGGGCUCACUGCAGGCUUCUGUGUGUUUACAAGCUAUGCAGCCGAGAUGGGCGGGUGAACAACAAAACAAAACAAAACAAAAAAACAAAUACAAACAUCUGGACGAAUAAUAUGAAUGAGGAUUGAGGAGAUAUCAAGUUGGCAAGCCACGGACACGCAUUCUUCAGUCAGUCAGUCAGACAGUUGGGUUGAUUUUUAGUUCCUUACGUUAAGGGGUGGGCCAUGCAGCUCGGCUAUACAGGAGAAAGACACUCUACCCAGCAGCAUUGGAAAAUAAAAAAAAGGUGAAAGGGAUGUGGAUAUAAGAAGAAGGAUAAACGCUAUACUCGCGUGGGUAUAUCUGGGCCGCUUUCCUGCUGCAAGUUUGAUCCUAAGGAUUUGUCCACGUUGCCAAGACAUUUCAUCCGAGCAAAGAUAGAGAGAGAGGCAACCUCUGCAUACUGCUGCACAAACUGAUCCCCUGUUCUAUCAGCUCCUGUCCGAUACAACGGAUUUUCCAUCCCCUACUACAUAUGAUAUAGCUGGCCAUCGGAUGCAUGACACGUCUAAUGCGACUGAUGGAUCAUACGCCAAUCACGUGAAAAAAAGGCUAAGAAACCUGCUAUGACGGGUCUUGGCCAACACGUCGGUGGUACAGUGACACUAUACAUGAUUGCACAUUGGAAUUUUUAGGCAAUACCUUCAAUAGCAUCCCUUGUUGGACAAUAUCUAUAAUUAUACAAGGACGCGAUACACACACACACACACAUACACAUACGCACACACACUGCAGGCACUGCUGUGAGGAGGAGGUGACGGGCAGCAGAUUAGAUUUUCUGGCGAUAGUUUUGGCGUGUGCAAAGUGGGCGGUCAAUUAAGACAGGAAACGUCAAUCAUUCAAACACCCACUUCAUCAUUUGUUGCUGUCGUCAAUCACUUGAGUCGUCGUCGUCCUUGAAUGCAGAUGAUGACUAUACGCAUUGGACAACUUAUUCCUACUAUCGAUCGAUAUAGUUCGCUAACUUGCGCAACUUUUGGAUGAAACUGUAGUAGCUACUUAAUAUUCAAAGAAAUUUAUUUUUCAAAUUCCAGUUAAAGAGCCCUAUUUACGUUCGUCGGUGGUGACAAUCAGAUAAGAAGGAUGUGAUAGACGUCCGAAGGCUCACUGGAGACGGUGACAUUGCUGAAGGUUAUUCUGCUGCGAUUUGUUUUCCAUUUGGGGAAGUAAUAUUAUGAUACAUAUAUGAGGAAAAGCGGAAACGAUGUGAAAUACUGUUGGGCAGGAAAUAACUUCCAAUCAUGGUUGACGCAAUCUCUAGUACCUCCAAAAAGGGCACUGAAAUAUGUUCUUCUUCUCAACACAUUUGAACACGUUUUUUCCCCUUCAGGUCUAUAAUAGGUAACAACAAGGAACCGAUGACGCAAUGGAAAAGAAUAGCGUGAUCAUAGGAGGUGAUGAAGUAAGACGGUAGAGCGCUAGGUGGCAGUAGGUAGGGCUCCAUUGUUCACCCAUUUAUUUAUUCUUCGCAGUUCCGUGAAGUUAUAUUCUAUCUAGACGAACAGCUCGAAAGUCACAUCACUGAGAUAUAGCGAUAUCGAUAUUCGUUUAAAUGUACAGUUUAAUACCUUUCUUCAGUAUCGUCGUCAAUUGUGCGCAUAACGGUGGAUACCGGUACUCGUGUUAUAAUUUCUAACACAAUUGUUGUAAGAUGACAUGAGAUUAAAAAUAAUAAAAAA